UGGGGAAUCUUGGACAAUGGGGGCAACCCUGAUCCAGCCAUGCCGCGUGAGUGAUGAAGGCCUUAGGGUCGUAAAGCUCUUUCGCCUGUGAAGAUAAUGACGGUAGCAGGUAAAGAAACCCCGGCUAACUCCGUGCCAGCAGCCGCGGUAAUACGGAGGGGGUUAGCGUUGUUCGGAAUUACUGGGCGUAAAGCGCACGUAGGCGGACCAGAAAGUUGGGGGUGAAAUCCCGGGGGCUCAACCCCGGAACUGCCUCCAAAACUAUUGGUCUAGAGUUCGAGAGAGGUGAGUGGAAUUCCAAGUGUAGAGGUGAAAUUCGUAGAUAUUUGGAGGAACACCAGUGGCGAAGGCGGCUCACUGGCUCGAUACUGACGCUGGAGGUGCGAAAAGUGUGGGGAGCAAACAGGAUUAG
rnacentral:rRNA from 1 species